CAAAGCAAUAAUUAUAGAGUAAGCAAAUACGUGGAGUUAAUUACCCAGAAGCGGAGCAUUUGGCGACACGAUUAGUAUUACAUUAAGCCUAUAAGAGGGUAGGCACAGUACGCCAGUUUAAUAUAAACGAGGUCAUACCCUAUCAUGAAAGAACUGAAUGGAAAAAAAGCGUGCGAUGAAAGAAAACAAGAUUGUUAUUUAGUUGAAAACUGAAACAGUACUUCUCAAACUCAUUAAUAAUUCAUGAGGAAAACACAAAGGAAAUCACCACCACAUCGUUGUCUUGAUACGAUGAUCUGAAUAAACGUCCGAUAAAUUAACUCAACUUUCGUGUUGAAUUCCACGCUAAAUACAAGUUCGUUUGGGAAGCACACACUUUUCGGUGUUUCAUACGCCGGUAAUAAGGGACGGACCAUUAGAAAAGUGAUGGGGGGGGGGGGCAAAACCAAAAAAAAAUUUUAUUCCCAGAAAAAAAUGAAAAAAAAUCUUUCAAGGCAUAGUGCAAAAAAAAAAAUUCCUUGCUUAGAAGAUAGGCCAAGUGGUGUACUGGAGGAAGGGCUCAGGGGAGCUGAGCCCCCCCCUUGUUGAAAUUUCAUGUUGACUUGGGGGGCUGCACGUUGGUCAAAUUUAGCAAAAUUUCUCCCACUCGUGCGGGUUCGUAUUGACAGCGGAUAUCUUACAGAAAGUGGCCAGUUCUUUGAAAAAUGCAAAAGUUUCAAUUUUACACCGCACGUCCACUGACAAUAUGAGCCUGCGAUCCUGGGAGAAAAUUUGCUGAAUGUGACCAGCGUGCUGAGCCCCCCUAUAUUAUGGCACGUUGCAUAAUUGAUAAUCUUAACAACGUGCGAAAACACACACAAAAAAUACCAGUAAACGAGAAUGUUCUUUAGAAUUGCAUCUCAUUUUCACUCAUCAUUUAACACAAUGAUUUUUGUAAUCUUUAUAUCGCCAUUUUUGUAAUCUUUAUAUCAUUUAGUACCACUAAAUUGUAAAUUUCGACAUACUAAAACGCUGUUUUCUGACCAUCAGAAUUCUGUCAAAUCUUCCCCAAAGUCCAGGAAAUGGCAUUUCAGAGACUCUAAAUUUAAAAAUUUCCUCGGGCCUUCGGCCCUCGCUUCAGCUUGUUUUUAAUAAGAAUAAUGUCAAAUGUUUGUCCCAGAAUUACUAGAAUAAACCCCAACAAAAUUUAGAAUUUCUAAAAUAUCUUAUUGUACCUCCCCUCCCCUCCCGCCAAUUCAGGGCACUUUGGAGAGCCCCCCUUGUUAACAUUCCAGGACUACACCACUAAUAGGCCUAUAAAUUUCACUUAAAGGGCCCUACAGUCAUUUUUUAGUCGAAAGCCACCUUAAGUAGGGGACUCCACGGAGAUUCGUUUGGCUGUAUCUUACAUGCAGUAUCCAUGAGUAUGAGUACUUUCGCACACAGAAAACGCAUGCAUACUGUGGUGCGCAUGUCAAGUAGCGACAAUAACAAAAAAUGUAAACAAUACUUACUUGACUAAAAAUUACUGUAGGGCCCUUUAAAAAAAAAUAUUUCCAACCAUCAAGUGAGAAAAAAAAAAUUUCUUCUAUAGGUGUACAAAAAAAAAUAUAUUGCCUCUUAGAAAAUCCCCCCCCCCCCCAUCACUUUUCUAAUGGUCCGUCCCUAAAUGUUGCUUUCUCGUUUAUUACAUAUUAUACCAUCAAUAAUGGCAUAAUGCAUUACUCAGCCUGAUGCUAUGUACUGUUUAAUAAA
rnacentral:lncRNA from 1 species